UGCAAGUCGACGAUGAACCACUUCGGUGGGGAUUAGUGGCGAACGGGUGAGUAACACGUGGGCAAUCUGCCCUGCACUCUGGGACAAGCCCUGGAAACGGGGUCUAAUACCGGAUACUGACCCGCUUGGGCAUCCAAGCGGUUCGAAAGCUCCGGCGGUGCAGGAUGAGCCCGCGGCCUAUCAGCUUGUUGGUGAGGUAAUGGCUCACCAAGGCGACGACGGGUAGCCGGCCUGAGAGGGCGACCGGCCACACUGGGACUGAGACACGGCCCAGACUCCUACGGGAGGCAGCAGUGGGGAAUAUUGCACAAUGGGCGAAAGCCUGAUGCAGCGACGCCGCGUGAGGGAUGACGGCCUUCGGGUUGUAAACCUCUUUCAGCAGGGAAGAAGCGAAAGUGACGGUACCUGCAGAAGAAGCGCCGGCUAACUACGUGCCAGCAGCCGCGGUAAUACGUAGGGCGCGAGCGUUGUCCGGAAUUAUUGGGCGUAAAGAGCUCGUAGGCGGCUUGUCACGUCGGUUGUGAAAGCCCGGGGCUUAACCCCGGGUCUGCAGUCGAUACGGGCAGGCUAGAGUUCGGUAGGGGAGAUCGGAAUUCCUGGUGUAGCGGUGAAAUGCGCAGAUAUCAGGAGGAACACCGGUGGCGAAGGCGGAUCUCUGGGCCGAUACUGACGCUGAGGAGCGAAAGCGUGGGGAGCGAACAGGAUUAGAUACCCUGGUAGUCCACGCCGUAAACGGUGGGCACUAGGUGUGGGCGA
rnacentral:rRNA from 1 species